ACAAUUUUUGUUAGUAAAAACUUAUAAAUUAACACAAAUAAAAUUUUAUUUAUUUGCAUAACUUAUUUUCAUAAGCUUAAUAAUAAGCCAAAUCUAAACGGGCCCUCGGUCAAUCCAAGAUAGACACUAUUAUUAGCUUUAUGUUUUUAUUUUUACACAAUUAUUGGCUUUAUGUUUUUUUGGUUUGACACAAUUAUUGGC
rnacentral:lncRNA from 1 species